AAUAACAAAAUGACUAAAAUUGUGAUGGCUUAUAUUGGAUUCCUUCUCCUUGCCAUUCAGUUUUCAUCACACCGUGCGAGCGCGAUAUGAAACGGUGACGCCUCCCAUCAAAUACUGAAUCCUUACUAUAAAGUUACUUCAAGAUGCAUAGGCUAAUGUAACUUGAGAGCGACGGUAUCUUUCUGCUGCGCAAUUCAAAUGCAGGGUAUUGGCAGUUAUCAUUCCCACAAGGUGAUGGCACUUAUGACAUGUCUCAAGUUUUGUAAGGCGCAUGGCAACAUGUUCUCCGAACAUAAUGCACAUGUUUUUGCCGCUUGGAAUUAGUCGGAAGGUCCACGCUCAAAACACUACCACACAGUCCCCUGCCAUGAAUGCUACGACCAAAGCUGGCAGUGGGAGUUCCAACAUGACCAAGAUGCCCGACGUCACCAAGAACAACAACAUUGCCAAAGGAGCCAGUGCAUCCUUGCAGUCCAGCUCGGUUGCGCUCAUCAUACCCAUCAUGGUGGGGGGCUCACUACAGGGGUGCUUCUAGAGGGCUGUUGCAGCAGUGAACCAACACCGGCAAGACUUUAACAUCCCCGGCCUAGAUGGGGUAAACUGUUUCACAAAGAUCACAUUUUUUUAAAUAAAUAAUCAGGAAGGCAGUCAUGUGCGCUCCUAACCGAAGAUAUUCGGUGGAGUUGCGUGCCGGAGGAGAACCCAUUUCUACUUCACUGAUGGGAAUUGUUAUUUGCCCUUACACCUUCCGGCCGCUUCAAACCAGUAGGCCUUCAUACCUCUCACACUGGCCCCAUGCCCAUAGGCUGAACUGUACGGUCCUCUCCAUGGAGGCAGUCCAUGAUGAGUAUGUACUGUACGGAACUCUGCUCUUUGAACCGUUUGGUCCCGCUGUUCCUGUGUAGACACCAGGGGGUAGUUUAGUAAUUUGUUAAGAAGUUAAAAUAUCUAAAGAAAUGUUGGGUGAGGCACUUUGAAAAUAAGGUAUAGAAUCUGUGGC
rnacentral:lncRNA from 13 species